AGCAUACGGACGUCGUGGUCGGUUCCGUGAACGCUCGUUGUUUGUUUCGGCAAGUAAUAUCGUUUUACAAAAUAGCUCAACAAAUAUAAAAUAUAUACAUAUACCUACAUACAUAUGUGUGCAUUGCUUAAGAUUAUCAAGAAAUCAUAAUAAAGAAAAUCGAAAGAGAAGUCAGCUACAAAAGCAAAUAAGAAAUGUGAGUAGAUUUCAAGAAAUCACAAAUGCGUGUGCCGACACACAUGUAUAUCAAUUUAUUACAUACAAACGUACAUGUUUGUGCGUCCGUGCGUGCGUGCGUGAAGGUGUGUGUGUAUGCGAGAGGUGCAAAAUAAAAUUCACAAACGGUAAAAUAAAUGAAUAAAAUUGUGUACACAAAGUGAGCUGUGAAAUUGCGGCGCAAAAACAAAGCCCGCAAAUUAAACGAAGAGGAAGUGUAAAAAAAAAAAUAAAAUUUAUUAAUUCAAACCUACAUCUAGGAAAGUGCGUCGUUUUUAUUUUGAUAUCGAUAGAAAAAUAAAAAUACAUUAGAAGUGCGCCUCAUUUGUCUUACAGACAAAUAUACCUGCUAAUGUUUUCAUACAUAUGCAUUAUUGUGCAUGCAUGUGUUUGCCUGUGUGUGCGUGUGCGUGUGCAAAGUGCAACAUAAACAAACGAAAAUGUUUUUCAAGAAUGCAAAAAGGUACGAAAAAAUGCAUCGCUAGAAUGAGGUGAAUACUCGAAAUGCAAAUAUAUAAGAAUAUAUGUGAAACCGAAAAAAAAAUUAAAAACCUUAAGAGGAACGGGCGAUGAUAACAGCAAAUCAACUGCAUCACAUGUAACUCGGAGAAGAGCCAAAGCACAACAAUAAAGCAAUAAACUUCGACCAACAAAACAAUAACAACAACAACAUUGACGACGAAAAUCAUUCCAGCAAAUACAGAUAUAAGAGAGGGACGAAGAGCGAGAGAGAGAGUAAACAAGAGUGAUGAUUACCUAACGGGCAAUCGCCCCUAGUUCAAUACUUGAUAUACAAAAAUAACCUAAAUUUAAUUGAGAAACAACAUGGAUUUAAGAGAUUUACCGGUUGAAAUGUUUUACUGGAAGUCAGCUGCUAGUAAGAGCCUAGAGCUGAACCGGAUUUCGGAUAGAAUCAAAUUUGUAACGUUAAGGCAAACACGUUGCUGUGCCACAAAAACAAAGCCAACGAGAACAGGUGACGUAUUAGCAACAACAAUAGCAACGCCAUUGUCAAAAACGCCA
rnacentral:sRNA from 1 species